rnacentral:rRNA from 1 species
AGAGUUUGAUCCUGGCUCAGAAUGAACGCUGGCGGCGUGCCUAACACAUGCAAGUCGGAUGUGCCGCAAGGUGCACGGCAGACGGGUGAGUAACGCGUAGGGAAUCUACCUUUUUGUGGGGAAUAACGCUCCGAAAGGAGUGGUAAUACCGCAUGAGACCGCAGACUGGGAUGUUUGUGGUGAAACCUGGGGACCGCAAGGCCUGGGGCAAGAAGAGGAUCCUGCGUCUGAUUAGCUAGUUGGCGGGGUAAUGGCCCACCAAGGCGACGAUCAGUAGCCGGCCUGAGAGGGUGAUCGGCCACACUGGAACUGAGACACGGUCCAGACUCCUACGGGAGGCAGCAGUGGGGAAUUUUGCGCAAUGGACGAGAGUCUGACGCAGCAACGCCGCGUGGGUGAUGAAGGUCUUCGG